GCUAAUUAAGUGUUAUUCCCUGCACAUUGAUCUUUCACGUCAAAAGAACACAAAGUGUACUUAGCU
rnacentral:tRNA from 1 species